UAUGUGAUCGUCUCUCGCAUAUCAAUAAGCGGAGGAAAAGAAACUAACAAGGAUUCCCCUAGUAACGGCGAGUGAAGCGGGAAGAGCUCAAAUUUGAAAUCUUAAAGGGUUUCCCUUUACGAAUUGUAGUUUAAAGAAGUGUUUUCUGUUGAGGUUUUGGUAAAAGUUCUUUGGAAUAGGACAUCAUAGAGGGUGAGAAUCCCGUAUUUGACCUUUACUUUCAACUUUGUGAUACACUUUCAAAGAGUCGGAUUGUUUGGGAAUGCAGUCCAAAAUGGGUGGUAAAUUUCAUCUAAAGCUAAAUAUUGGCGAGAGACCGAUAGCGAACAAGUACCGUGAGGGAAAGAUGAAAAGAACUUUGAAAAGAGAGUUAAACAGUACGUGAAAUUGUCAAAAGGGAAGCGUUUGACACCAGUGUUGUUUUUCUGAAAAUCAAUUAAAGAACUGUUUAUGCUAAGCUGUUUAGACUUUAUCAGCUAAUCUGUUUAGUUUUGAGCUUUUCUUUAAUGCACUUUUCAGUUAACAAGUCAACAUCAAUUUCUUUUGCUGUAAAAAAGCUUGAGGAAGGUGGCUUGAGAUUCGUCUUAAGUGUUUAUAGCCUCUUGCCUAUGCAGUCGGAGAGAUUGAGGUCUGCAGCGUAGAUCCUUCGGGGCUAAAUGCAUUUGUGCUAAGUUAUAACAUUUUAUAGACAACUUGUUGACUAUGAUUUGUCUUGUAGCUUACUCGCUUAUGUUAUUUUACCUACGCUUAGGAUGUUGACACACGCGCGUGCUCG
rnacentral:rRNA from 1 species